GACGAACGCUGGCGGCGUGCUUAACACAUGCAAGUCGAACGGAAAGGCCCUGCUUGCAGGGUGCUCGAGUGGCGAACGGGUGAGUAACACGUGGGUGAUCUGCCCCUUAUUUUGGGAUAAGCCUGGGAAACUGGGUCUAAUACUGGAUAGGACCAUGCUGUAGGUGGUGUGGUGGAAAGAUUAGUUUCGGUAAGGGAUGAGCUCGCGGCCUAUCAGCUUGUUGGUGGGGUAAUGGCCUACCAAGGCGUCGACGGGUAGCCGGCCUGAGAGGGUGGACGGCAACAUUGGGACUGAGAUACGGCCCAGCCUCCUACGGGAGGCAGCAGUGGGGAAUAUUGCACAAUGGGCGCAAGCCUGAUGCAGCGACGCCGCGUGGGGGAUGACGGCCUUCGGGUUGUAAACUCCUUUCGGCCAUGACGAAGCCCUUGUGGUGACGGUAGUGGUAGAAGAAGCACCGGCUAACUACGUG
rnacentral:rRNA from 1 species